rnacentral:misc_RNA from 1 species
GACUCCAGAUGAGCUGGAGAUGGAAGAUGGUGAUGAAAUUGAUGCGAUGUUGCAUCAAACCGGAGGCACAACUAUUUGAGUCUCCUUUUCUUUUGUUUCUGUGGAUGCAAGACUUUGUGUUUCAAGAUGGUAUUGAACUUAGUGAAAUGCUGGUUGUGUGCAGCUUUAGGACCUUUAGACUCUGAUGAAUGGGAUCAUGUUUUGCUUACUUCAUAUUGAACUUAAUCGCUAAUAUUACUUUUUGAAAGUCAUUAUGUUCUUCAUUUUUAAUUUUCUGAAGAUGACAUGAAUAUGAUCAUAGUUUGGUCAUUACGUCGAGUUUAACAUCUGCCUAUGGUCUCUAUCUUAAUGUUUUCGUCAUGAUGUAAUGGUUAAGUGCAUGUUGGGAG